AACGAAACGCUGGCGGCAGGCUUAACACAUGCAAGUCGAACGCAUCCUUCGGGGUGAGUGGCAGACGGGUGAGUAACACGUGGGAACGUACCUUUCGGUUCGGGAUAACCCCAGGGAAACUUGGGGCUAAUACCGGAUACGUACCUUUGGGAGAAAGAUUCAUUGCCGAGAGAUCGGCCCGCGUCUGAUUAGCUAGUUGGUGGGGUAACGCUCACCAAGGCGACGAUCAGUAGCUGGUCUGGAGAGGAUGAUCAGCCACACUGGGACUGAGACACGGCCCAGACUCCUACGGGAGGCAGCAGUCGGGAAUAUU
rnacentral:rRNA from 1 species